ACCCAGACUCCUACGGGAGGCAGCAGUGGGGAAUAUUGGACAAUGGGGGGAACCCUGAUCCAGCGACGCCGCGUGAGUGAAGAAGUAUCUCGGUAUGUAAAGCUCUAUCAGCAGGGAAGAAAGAAAUGACGGUACCUGACUAAGAAGCCCCGGCUAACUACGUGCCAGCAGCCGCGGUAAUACGUAGGGGGCAAGCGUUAUCCGGAUUUACUGGGUGUAAAGGGGGCGCAGACGGCAGCGCAAGCCAGGAGUGAAAGCCCGGGGCCCAACCCCGGGACUGCUCUUGGAACUGCGCGGCUGGAGUGCAGGAGGGGCAGGCGGAAUUCCUAGUGUAGCGGUGAAAUGCGUAGAUAUUAGGAGGAACACCAGUGGCGAAGGCGGCUUACUGGACGGCAACUGACGCUGAGGCUCGAAAGCGUGGGGAGCAAACAGGAUUAGAUACCCGGGUA
rnacentral:rRNA from 1 species